UGCCCAGUAACUCCUAUCCCUACCUCCUCGCGGUACCGGCCGGAAACUAUGACCAACGGCAACGACCCCAGCGAACAAAAAGGACUUG
rnacentral:ribozyme from 1 species